GACUCCUACGGGAGGCAGCAGUGAGGAAUAUUGGACAAUGGGCGCAAGCCUGAUCCAGCCAUGCCGCGUGCAGGAAGACGGUCCUAUGGAUUGUAAACUGCUUUUGUACAGGAAGAAACACUCCCUCGUGAGGGAGCUUGACGGUACUGUAAGAAUAAGGAUCGGCUAACUCCGUG
rnacentral:rRNA from 1 species